rnacentral:rRNA from 1 species
AGUGAACGCUGGCGGCAGGCCUAACACAUGCAAGUCGAACGGCAGCACAGGAGAGCUUGCUCUCUGGGUGGCGAGUGGCGGACGGGUGAGGAAUACAUCGGAAUCUACUUUUUCGUGGGGGAUAACGUAGGGAAACUUACGCUAAUACCGCAUACGACCUACGGGUGAAAGCAGGGGACCUUCGGACCUUGCGGGUUUGAAUAAGCGGGUGUCGGAUUAGCUAGUUGGCGGGGUAAAGGCCCACCAAGGCGACGAUCCGUAGCUGGUCUGAGAGGAUGAUCAGCCACACUGGAACUGAGACACGGUCCAGACUCGUACGGGAGGCAGCAGUGGGGAAUAUUGGACAAUGGGCGCAAGCCUGAUCCAGCCAUACCGCGUGGGUGAAGAAGGCCUUCGGGUUGUAAAGCCCUUUUGUUGGGAAAGAAAUCCAGCUGGUUAAUACCCGGUUGGGAUGACGGUACCCAAAGAAUAAGCACCGGCUAACUUCGUGCCAGCCGCCGCGGUAA